AUCGAACGCUGGCGGCAGGCUUAACACAUGCAAGUCGAACGAGCGGCGGACGGGUGAGUGAUGUCUGGGAAAGUGCCUGAUGUACGCGGCUGAGUACUAGAACAGGUGGCUAAUAGCGCAUACCAUCGGAUGUGCCCAGAGGGGAUUAGCUAGUCGGUGGGGUAACGGCUCACCUAGGAGACGAUGCCUAGCUGGUCUGAGAGGAUGAUCAGCCACACUGGGACUGAGACACGGCCCAGACUCCUACGGGAGGCAGAAGUGGGGAAUAUUGGACAAUGGGCGCAAGGCUGAUGGAGCCAUGCCGCGUGUGUGAAGAAGGUUUUCGGAUUGUAAAGUACUGGUGUUCGGGAGGCGGUAUCGACAGAAGAAGCAACGGCUAACUACGUGCCAGCAGCCGCGGUAAUUC
rnacentral:rRNA from 1 species